rnacentral:lncRNA from 1 species
AAUUACUCCCAAAACUAUGAGUAAUAUCCAUCGUGCAUGUGGACAGAAAAAUUUAUGUAAUUAUGAUCAAGAAAGAAUUAUUGAAAGAACAUAGAUCGUAAAGAGAAUGGAGAACUGUAUCUUAUUCAUUGAUAUAAGAGUCUUUAUAUAGGGAUUACAUAACAGUGAUAACACCGUAUGGUGUUCUACAAGGAAACAUAUUUUUAAUAUCAUAUCUCUAUACGGAAUCAAGAUUCCUUAUAUAACUAGCAUAGACCAAGGCACACACAUUUAGAAUAUUCCUACAACAUGUUAUCUUAUAUAUUGCAGUGUUGCACGCAUAUACGUGAAAAC